CCUGGACUCUGGGAUAAGCGCUGGAAACGGCGUCUAAUACUGGAUAUGAGACGUGAUCGCAUGGUCGUGUUUGGAAAGAUUUUUCGGUCUGGGAUGGGCUCGCGGCCUAUCAGCUUGUUGGUGAGGUAAUGGCUCACCAAGGCGUCGACGGGUAGCCGGCCUGAGAGGGUGACCGGCCACACUGGGACUGAGACACGGCCCAGACUCCUACGGGAGGCAGCAGUGGGGAAUAUUGCACAAUGGGCGGAAGCCUGAUGCAGCAACGCCGCGUGAGGGAUGACGGCCUUCGGGUUGUAAACCUCUUUUAGCAGGGAAGAAGCGAAAGUGACGGUACCUGCAGAAAAAGCGCCGGCUAACUACGUGCCAGCAGCCGCGGUAAUACGUAGGGCGCAAGCGUUAUCCGGAAUUAUUGGGCGUAAAGAGCUCGUAGGCGGUUUGUCGCGUCUGCUGUGAAAUCCCGAGGCUCAACCUCGGGCCUGCAGUGGGUACGGGCAGACUAGAGUGCGGUAGGGGAGAUUGGAAUUCCUGGUGUAGCGGUGGAAUGCGCAGAUAUCAGGAGGAACACCGAUGGCGAAGGCAGAUCUCUGGGCCGUAACUGACGCUGAGGAGCGAAAGGGUGGGGAGCAAACAGGCUUAGAUACCCUGGUAGUCCACCCCGUAAACGUUGGGAACUAGUUGUGGGGACCAUUCCACGGUUUCCGUGACGCAGCUAACGCAUUA
rnacentral:rRNA from 1 species